CCUACGGGAGGCAGCAGUGAGGAAUAUUGGUCAAUGGACGAGAGUCUGAACCAGCCAAGUAGCGUGAAGGAUGACUGCCCUAUGGGUUGUAAACUUCUUUUAUAUGGGAAUAAAACGUUCCACGUGUGGGAUUUUGUAUGUACCAUAUGAAUAAGGAUCGGCUAACUCCGUGCCAGCAGCCGCGGUAAUACGGAGGAUCCGAGCGUUAUCCGGAUUUAUUGGGUUUAAAGGGAGCGUAGGUGGAUUGUUAAGUCAGUUGUGAAAGUUUGCGGUUCAACCGUAAAAUUGCAGUUGAAACUGGCAGUCUUGAGUACAGUAGAGGUGGGCGGAAUGCGUGGUGUAGCGGUGAAAUGCUUAGAUAUCACGAAGAACUCCGAUUGCGAAGGCAGUUCACUGGACUGCAACUGACACUGAGGCUCGAAAGUGUGGGUAUCAAACAGGAUUAGAUACCCUAGUAGUC
rnacentral:rRNA from 1 species